rnacentral:rRNA from 1 species
UACGUAGGGCGCAAGCGUUAUCCGGAAUUAUUGGGCGUAAAGAGCUCGUAGGCGGUUUGUCGCGUCUGCCGUGAAAGUCCGGGGCUCAACUCCGGAUCUGCGGUGGGUACGGGCAGACUAGAGUGAUGUAGGGGAGACUGGAAUUCCUGGUGUAGCGGUGAAAUGCGCAGAUAUCAGGAGGAACACCGAUGGCGAAGGCAGGUCCUCUGGGCAUUAACUGACGCUGAGGAGCGAAAGCAUGGGGAGCGAACAGG